UGGGGAAUUUUGGACAAUGGGGGGCAACCCUGAUCCAGCAAUGCCGCGUGUGUGAAGAAGGCCUUCGGGUUGUAAAGCACUUUUGUCCGGAAAGAAAACGUCGUGGUUAAUACCCGUGCGGCUGACGGUACCGGAAGAAUAAGCACCGGCUAACUACGUGCCAGCAGCCGCGGUAAUACGUAGGGUGCAAGCGUUAAUCGGAAUUACUGGGCGUAAAGCGUGCGCAGGCGGUCCGCUAAGACAGAUGUGAAAUCCCCGGGCUUAACCUGGGAACUGCAUUUGUGACUGGCGGGCUAGAGUAUGGCAGAGGGGGGUANAAUUCCACGUGUAGCAGUGAAAUGCGUAGAGAUGUGGAGGAAUACCGAUGGCGAAGGCAGCCCCCUGGGCCAAUACUGACGCUCAUGCACGAAAGCGUGGGGAGCAAACAGGAUUAGAUACCCUGGUAGUCCACGCCCUAAACGAUGUCAACUAGUUGUCGGGUCUUCAUUGACUUGGUAACGAGCUAACGCGUGAAGUUGACCGCCUGGGGAGUACGGUCGCAAGAUUAAAACUCAAAUGAAUUGACGGGGUCUAGCUGUUUCCUG
rnacentral:rRNA from 1 species